rnacentral:rRNA from 1 species
GACGAACGCUGGCGGCGUGCUUAACACAUGCAAGUCGAACGGAAAGGCCCUGCUUUUGUUGGGUGCUCGAGUGGCGAACGUGUGAGUAACACUUGGGUAACCUUCCCUUUACUUUGGGAUAUCUUCAGGAAACUGGGGCUAAUACCGGAUAUGAGCUCCUGCUGCAUGUUGUGGGUUGGAAAGUUUCGGCGGUUGGGGAUGGACUCGCGGCUUAUCAGCUUGUUGGUGGGGUAGUGGCUUACCAAGGCUUUGACGGGUAGCCGGCAUGAGAGGGUGACCGGGAACAUUGGGACUGAGAUACGGCCCAGAGGCCAACGGGAGGCAGCAGGGGGGAAUAUUGCAGAAUGGGAGGAAGCCUGAUGAAGAAACGCAGGGGGCGGGAUGACGGCCUUCGGGUUGUAAACCGCUUUAGCAUGUGAAGAAGAGUGAGUGACGGUAAUGGGUAAAGAAGCACCGGCUAACUACGUG